rnacentral:rRNA from 1 species
CCCUUAGAUGUUCUGGGCCGCACGCGCGCUACACUGUUCGCCGCAGCGAGUCUUAACCUUGACCGAAAGGUUUGGGUAAUCUUCAGCAAAGUCGAACGUGAUGGGGAUCGAUCAUUGCAAUUAUUGAUCGUGAACGAGGAAUUCCUAGUAAGUGCAAGUCAUCAGCUUGCGCUGAUUACGUCCCUGCCCUUUGUACACACCGCCCGUCGCUACUACCGAUUGAAUGGUUUAGUGAGAUCUCUGGAUUGACGCUGGCUAGGGGGCGACCCUUGGCCGGACUGUUGAGAAACUGCUCAAACUUGAUCAUUUAGAGGAAGUAAAAGUCGUAACA